AACGAACGCUGGCGGCAUGCCUAACACAUGCAAGUCGAACGAGACCUUCGGGUCUAGUGGCGCACGGGUGCGUAACGCGUGGGAACCUGCCCUUAGGUUCGGAAUAACUCCCCGAAAGGGGUGUUAAUACCGGAUAAUGUUUUCGGACCAAAGAUUUAUCGCCUUUGGAUGGGCCCGCGUUGGAUUAGCUAGUUGGUAGGGUAAAAGCCUACCAAGGCGACGAUCCAUAGCUGGUCUGAGAGGAUGAUCAGCCACACUGGGACUGAGACACGGCCCAGACUCCUACGGGAGGCAGCAGUGGGGAAUAUUAGACAAUGGGCGAAAGCCUGAUCCAGCAAUGCCGCGUGAGUGAUGAAGGCCUUAGGGUUGUAAAGCUCUUUUACCCGGGAUGAUAAUGACAGUACCGGGAGAAUAAGCUCCGGCUAACUCCGUG
rnacentral:rRNA from 1 species